AAAGUGUUUCACUGUCUACAAAAUCAUUGAAGAGGAACCAAAAAAAAAAGAUGGUUCUGCUAGAGAAGCUUUGGGAUGAUGUUGUGGCUGGACCUCAGCCUGACCGUGGCCUUGGCCGCCUCCGUAAGAUCACCACCCAACCCAUUAAUAUCAGAGAUAUAGGAGAAGGGAGCAGUAAGGUGAUGCAUAGGUCGUUGACCAUGCCGGCGGCAGUUAGCCCCGGAACUCCGACGACUCCGACGACUCCGACCACUCCACGUAAGGAUAACGUGUGGAGGAGUGUCUUUAAUCCGGGAAGCAACCUCGCCACUAGAGCUAUCGGCUCCAACAUCUUCGAUAAACCAACCCAUCCAAAUUCUCCCUCCGUCUACGACUGCGUUGAUAACGAAGCUCAAAGGAAGGAACAUGUGGCACUGUGUUUAGUGGGCGCUUGGAUUAAAUGACUAUUUUUAUUCUGGUUUUACCAAAUCAACCUUCCUUUUUGUGCAUAUAUGGUUGUACAGUAGUGAGUCAAGGAGUCAGCACCAUUAAGGAUGGUCCGAUGGAGUGUGACAUGCGGGUGAUGUAAAUACGGUGACCAGAUCUUUCGCCACGUGUCUGUUUAGUUACUUUUUACUAUUUACCUUAGUUUUUUUUUACUGUUUUUGUGUACUUUAUCAGAGUGGAUAAAGUGACGGGGGAUGUUUUUCUUUUGUGCAUAAAACUGUCUCCCACCUGGCACCUACGCAAUGUGUGUUCGUUUCUGUUUUGGGCUGUGUUUUGCAAGUUUUUUCUUUUUGUAUUUUAGAGUUGUGUAGUGUAGUUGCAAGUGGCGGUUGGAUCUUUCACUAUCUUGUUGGAUUUUGAUGAUGGUUGAUGCGUUUGCUUUAAUGUUCAAUAAAUAAGCAUAUUUUUGCUAGUUA